UUUAAGUGCAACCAUGAGUUUUUACGCCCAACUUUAAUUAUUCGUCUUAUUUGAAUUUUUUUAUAAUUAGUAUUUUUGUUAUUAUGGGAUGAUAAACAUGAAUAUUUCUUUACUCAUGACUUAUAUUUUUAAUUUUUUUUUUAAAAAAAUUCAAAUAAGACGGACGUUUAUAGUUGGACACGGAAAACUAUGGCUACACAUAAA
rfam:Oryza meridionalis cultivar OR44 (W2112) chromosome 10, whole genome shotgun sequence.